rnacentral:rRNA from 1 species
AAUCAAGUGCCUUAAGGGUGUUCGGUGGAUGCCUUGGCGCUGAGAGGCGAUGAAGGACGUGCUACGCUGCGAUAAGCCGUGGGGAGCUGCGAAGAAGCUUUGAUCCACGGAUUUCCGAAUGGGGAAACCCACCUUCGAUAGCCGGAACUCCAAGACCUUGUGUUUUGGGGUUCGACCAGAAAUGGAAGAAAUCAGACCGCGAGGUUUUGGAUUUCCGGUUAUCAAGAGAAGGUAUGAGACUUCCGAAUAAAAUAGGAGGUUUUAAGCGAACCCAGGGAACUGAAACAUCUAAGUACCUGGAGGAAAGGACAUCAAUCGAGACUCCGUUAGUAGUGGCGAGCGAACGCGGACCAGGCCAGUGAUACAUCAAAGACAAUCGGAACCAGUCAGGAAAGCUGGGCCUCAGAGGGUGAUAGCCCCGUACGAGUAAUGCGAUGAUGUAUCCACGAGUAAGGCGGGACACGUGUAAUCCUGUCUGAACACGGGGGGACCACCCUCCAAGCCUAAGUACUCCUCAGCGACCGAUAGUGAACCAGUACCGUGAGGGAAAGGUGAAAAGCACCCCGACGAGGGGAGUGAAAUAGACCUGAAACCGGACACCUACAAACAGAUGGAGCCCAAGAUACGUUCUGGGUGACAUCGUACCUUUUGUAUUAUGGGCCAGCGACUUAAUUUAACGAGCAAGCUUAAGCCGAUAGGCGAAGGCGCAGCGAAAGCGAGUCUGAAUAGGGCGUCAAGUUCGUUGUAUUAGACCCGAAACCUAGUGAUCUAGCCAUGAGCAGGUUGAAGGUGAGGUAACACUCACUGGAGGACCGAACGGGUGCCUGUUGAAAAAGGCUCCGAUGACUUGUGGUUAGGGGUGAAAGGCCAAUCAAACUGGGAAAUAGCUGGUUCUCCGCGAAAGAUAUUUAGGUAUCGCCUCGGAUGAAUGCCUCAGGGGGUAGAGCACUGGAUGGGCUAGGGGGACUUACCGUCUUACCAAACCCAACCAAACUCCGAAUACCUGAGAGCAAUAUCCGGGAGUCACACGGCGGGUGCUAACGUCCGUCGUGGAGAGGGAAACAACCCGGACCUACAGCUAAGGCCCCUAAUUCGUGGCUAAGUGGGAAAGGAUGUGGAAAUCCCAAAACAACCAGGAGGUUGGCUUAGAAGCAGCCAUCCUUUAAAGAAAGCGUAACAGCUCACUGGUCUAAAUAAGGGUUUCUGCGCCGAAGAUGUAACGGGGCUCAAGCCACGAGCCGAAGCUUAGGGUGUGAUCCGCAAGGGUCACGCGGUAGCGGAGCGUUCUGUAAGCCUGCGAAGGGCGACCCGUGAGGGCGCCUGGAGGUAUCAGAAGUGCGAAUGCUGGCAUGAGUAACGACAAACACUGUGAAAGACAGUGUCGCCGAAAGUCCAAGGGUUCCUGCGUAAAGUUAAUCUUCGCAGGGUUAGCCGACCCCUAAGGCGAGGCCGAAAGGCGUAGUCGAUGGGAAUGCAGUGAAUAUUCUGCAGCCAGUGGAUGGUGACGAAUCCAGUAUGUUGUCCGACCUUAAUGGAUUGGUCGGGCCUCGAAUGGGUUCCAGGAAAUAGCCUCCACAUCAGAUCGUACCCGAAACCGACACAGGUGGACUGGUAGAGUAUACCAAGGCGCUUGAGAGAACUAUGUUGAAGGAACUCGGCAAUUUACCUCCGUAACUUCGGGAUAAGGAGGCCCAUUGCAUGCGCAAGCAUGCAGUGGGGGCACAGACCAGGGGGUGGCAACUGUUUAACAAAAACACAGGGCUCUGCGAAAUCGCAAGAUGACGUAUAGGGUCUGACGCCUGCCCGGUGCCGGAAGGUUAAGAGGAGAGGUGCAAGCCUUGAAUCGAAGCCCCGGUAAACGGCGGCCGUAACUAUAACGGUCCUAAGGUAGCGAAAUUCCUUGUCGGGUAAGUUCCGACCUGCACGAAUGGCGUAAUGACUUCCCCGCUGUCUCCAACAUAGACUCAGUGAAAUUGAAUUCCCCGUGAAGAUGCGGGGUUCCUGCGGUCAGACGGAAAGACCCCGUGCACCUUUACUGUAGCUUUGCGCUGGUAUUCGUGACUGUUUGUGUAGAAUAGGUGGUAGACUUUGAAGCCGUGGCGCCAGCCAUGGUGGAGUCGAAAUGUGAAAUACCACCCUAAUGGUUAUGGAUAUCUAAUCGCAUCCCUUUAGCGGGGAUCGGGAC